GACGAACGCUGGCGGCGUGCCUAACACAUGCAAGUCGAACGAACUCUUCGGGGUUUUGGGCGGACGUCGGAGUAAGACGUGGGGACGUGCCCUUGAGUACGGAAUACCUCAGGGAAACUUAAGCUAAUACCAUAUGGGCCCUUAGGGGGGAAGAUGUAUGGCCAUUGGAGCGGCGCGCGUCUGAUUCGGUAGUUGGUGAGGUAAUGGCAGACCAAGGCUACGAUGAGUAGCUGGUCGGAGAGGAGGAUCAGCCACAUUGGGACUGAGACACGGCCCAAACUCCUACGGGAGGGAGGAGAGGGGAACCUUGCGCAAUGGGGGAAAGCCUGACGCAGCCAUGCCGGGUGAAUGAUGAAGGUCUUAGGAUUGUAAAAUUCUUUCACCGGGGACGAUAAUGACGGUACCCGGAGAAGAAGCCCCGGCUAACUACGUG
rnacentral:rRNA from 1 species